AUUGAACGCUGGCGGCAUGCUUUACACAUGCAAGUCGAACGGCAGCGCGGGGCAACCUGGCGGCGAGUGGCGCACGGGUGAGUAAUAUAUCGGAACGUACCCAAGAGUGGGGGAUAACGUAGCGAAAGUUACGCUAAUACCGCAUACGAUCUAAGGAGGAAAGUGGGGGAUCGCAAGACCUCAUGCUCCUGGAGCGGCCGAUAUCUGAUUAGCUAGUUGGUGAGGUAAAGGCUCACCAAGGCGACGAUCAGUAGCUGGUCUGAGAGGACGACCAGCCACACUGGAACUGAGACACGGUCCAGACUCCUACGGGAGGCAGCAGUGGGGAAUUUUGGACAAUGGGCGCAAGCCUGAUCCAGCAAUGCCGCGUGAGUGAAGAAGGCCUUCGGGUUGUAAAGCUCUUUUGUCAGGGAAGAAACGGUAGAGGCUAAUAUCCUUUGCUAAUGACGGUACCUGAAGAAUAAGCACCGGCUAACUACGUG
rnacentral:rRNA from 1 species